rnacentral:rRNA from 1 species
GAUGAACGCUGGCGGCGUGCCUAAUACAUGCAAGUCGAGCGAACAGACGAGGAGCUUGCUCCUCUGACGUUAGCGGCGGACGGGUGAGUAACACGUGGAUAACCUACCUAUAAGACUGAGAUAACUUCGGGAAACCGGAGCUAAUACCGGAUAAUAUAUUGAACCGCAUGGUUCAAUAGUGAAAGACGGUUUUGCUGUCACUUAUAGAUGGAUCCGCGCCGCAUUAGCUAGUUGGUAAGGUAACGGCUUACCAAGGCAACGAUGCGUAGCCGACCUGAGAGGGUGAUCGGCCACACUGGAACUUAGACACGGUCCAGACUCCUACGGGAGGCAGCAGUAGGGAAUCUUCCGCAAUGGGCGAAAGCCUGACGGAGCAACGCCGCGUGAGUGAUGAAGGUCUUCGGAUCGUAAAACUCUGUUAUUAGGGAAGAACAAAUGUGUAAGUAACUAUGCACGUCUUGACGGUACCUAAUCAGAAAGCCACGGCUAACUACGUG